rnacentral:lncRNA from 1 species
UCAUCUCUAUUUGCAUCAAAUGCUAUGACAUUUUAGGUGGUCUGGUUGUCUCUUACCAAAGAAAUCAGUCACAAAAGCUGUGGAAAAGAAAUUAAUGAAACUCUCAAGAACUUUGCACUAUUUACAAAGUGCCGCGACUCUUUUACAAAAAUACAUUGACAAAAAUGGAAUGUGGUGCGAAAAUCAUCAAUGCUGAAUGAGGAUUAGCUCGCGCUUUGGUUUAGCAUCUCAUUGUACUGAAGGUAAGAAAUUUGCCUUUGCAACUUCGUUUGUUCAUAGAAUUUAGCUAUGAACUGCUCUGCUCUUGCGUCGAUCCCUCGAUCUUCCUCAAUUACCACUCUUCCAUCCUCCGCCUGCUCCUCAUCGAAAUGAGUUCCCUCUUCGCCUCCGUUUUCAAGGAAGCUCUGCCUCACGGCUUCAUACCCAUAGCACAGUCGGUCGUCCUCGUCAAACUCUGGGUCAAAAUCGACGUGGGGGUUUAUGCACGGUAUGUGCGGCAAGGGAAACCGCAUCGGCCCCGGGCGAUGCAUCUUCACGUGGACAACCGGGGUCUUAUCAAAGGAGAGCUCACGCUCCCUGUACCAGAUCUGGCUGCGCGGCGUCGCCUGGCCGAUGGUCUUGAGGAACUUGGGCACAAGGCCGAGCUGCAACUUGAACGCCCCGCCUUUCCUCGCCCAGAGCAGCGCCAGGCGCAGGAGGUUCCACGCGCGGCGAGAAACCCCGGACGUCUUCCUCGGCAUCUUUUCUCGGUCUCUAGCUGAGUAGUGUUUUCUUUGAGAAAGUCUUGCAGCUGAAAAAGGAUAAAUGAGAGAAGAUGAAAAGAGAGUGUGGAGGGUGUGAGAUGACUGAUGAAAUGGGGGUUAGCUUUGUAUGGGGCCUUUUUCCAGAUUUUGCUGAGCUGGAUGUGUACAAAAAUGAUCAGAAAGCUGUCUAUGUUUUAGGAUGAUCUGUGGGAAUGAGCAGAGCUUGGAAGGUGUUUAUAUAUGGAUUGGAAUUUUGUAUGGCACGCGGUGCUGUGGAGACAGCAGUUUCGUGUGGGGAUGCGAAUAGUGGGCGGCGGGAUCUGGGGACACAACGCGGUUGGACGCGCUGCAUCAUUGUUGUUUUCAGAUGCUUAUUACUUUAUUUCUCCCCGUUCCCGUUGAUCGAAAUUUGGCGAGUCCGAUUAAUCUUGAUAAGUGAGGAUAAUUGUUCAAAAAAUCAUAAACUUUUUGUACAGUAACUAAUUUAAAUCUCAAAAAUUUCGAUUAUGUCAGAUAUAAUUUUGAACCUAUUGUACGGUAAUCAAUUUGGCCAUAAACCUUUCAAUCGUGUCAAUUUAGCUAUAAACAUUUUGAUUGUUUGUCAAUUUAGUCAUAAGCCUGAACGAGUUGUCAAUAUAGUCAUUUUAGGUAAUUUUGGCCGAACAUCACUCAAAGACUAUAUUGGCAAAUUAUUAAAAUGUUUAAAAUUGAAUCGACAAAUCGUCAAUACGUUUAUGAAUAAAUUAGUGUAAUUGAAAGAUUUAGAACUAAAAUGACAAUUUAAAAUUUAAAAUCAUAUUGGGCAUCUUAAUUGGACAAUUUUCCCUCAAUAAGUGUAUGGGUAUGGUCCCAUCACUCACAUGCAAUGGAUACGACUCUUAAAAAGGGCUGUGGGUAUGCUCUCAAAUUACUUUGAGUUGAAGUCAUAUAAUUGAAUGGAUGAAAUGUUGAUUAUAAAAGCUCUUAACCCCUUAAUUCACAGCUAUUUUUUUCUUUUCUUUUCUUUUUGUCAGAAUUAACAGCUAUUCAAAGUGCCGCAAAAGGAUUUUUUUUAAAAGCAAUGUGUUGACGUUUGUUAUCAAGGCUCUUGUUAAGCAAUCUACUAAAAAAUCAUUUACAUUUUCCAAUGAUUGAUUGUUGUAAUGUUAUAUGCAAUGAAUAUAAUAAAAAAAUGAAUAAUUUCAAAUAAAAUUAGCAGGAGAAGUGAAUAUUAUAUAUUUGAAGCGACUCUUGUCUGCGGUUUUUUUUUUUGCUGUUGUUGGUUUUCCCUAUUUUUUGGCCGAAUUGAUGAUGUGGUCGUAAUCUUGUCAUGAUAUUUACCUUUGCUGGUAGUUGGGGAACUUAAAAAAGAAAAAGGAAAAAUGAGUGAAUAAUUUUUUUUUUUUGGAUUAAUAUCUUGAAAAAUCCUAAAUAUGUACAUGUGUGACAAAUUUACCUAAAACUAAUUUUUGACCAUGAAAAACCCCAAACUGGUACAACUGCGACAAAUUUACUCAAACUGACCAUAAAAAAACUUGAAAUCAGUAUACUUGUGAUAAAUUUACCUUAACCUAAUUUAUUUAACCACCAAAAACCCUAAAUUGGUACAUUCGUGACAAAUAUGCCCUCCAUUAAAUUGGAUUAAUACCACAAAAAAUCACAAAAAUUGUAUAACCGUGACAAACGAAGAGUAGAAUUGUAAAUCGGUAUCCAAUUAACUAUUGCAUGUUAUUCAAUUGAGUAAUUUGAUAGUAAAAUUCAACGGAAAUUAACAUAGUGUAAAUUUGUCAUAAAUGUAUCGGUUUAGGGUAAAUUUGUCAAAGAUUUAUCAGUUUGGGUUAUAUGGUCAAAAAAAUUAGUUUUGGAUAAUCUGUUAUAAGUGUAUCAAUUUUGGGUUUUUUAGGAUAUUAACCCUUUUUUAAUAUUUAUAUUGAAAUGGAUAAAGUCCUAAUGUUAUAAUAUAAUUCACCUAACGAAACCUAAUUCAAUGGAGUGAACAUUUUUUCUCAUCUUGCUUUAUCUUUCAGAUUCACUCAAAUUAUUUUUUUUUCCUUCUCAAUCGAUCUUACGGAUGAAAUUCCAAGAUUAUGGCAAAACUUCCUUUUAAAAGAUCUUUAUCUCCUAUCCAAAUGCGAGAAGAAUCCAACAAGCAAAUCCUCAACGUACCAAAUAGUCAUCCUUUGAUCUAGGAGAUUUAUUUGUACUAUCAUUAUGAUAUAUUGAUCUAAUGACAAUGUCUAGGUUGAUUUAAUUUUUAACUAACUUUGCAUUUGAAUCAUGAAAAUUGUCUAAGUCAAGGCUAGUCAUGUCAUGUACGACAGUAUAUACUAACCAUACCACUAACGAUUUAUUGUCCAAAUUGGCCGAAAGAACUAAAUUGAUGAAUUGUUAAAAGAAUUAAGAGUAAAUUGCCAAAUUAUCAAAAGAUUUAUAACUAAAUUGGAACAAUUAAAAUAUUUAUGACUAAAUUAAUAAGUCUCAAAAGGUUUAGGACUGACAUGUCACAAUUAAAAGAUUCAGAAUUGAAUCAAUGACAGUACAAUAGAUUUAAGAUUUUUUGAAUAAUUUUUCCUGAAAUUUCAGGUCGUCCUUAUGAAGUUCUGCCCUUUUUUUUUUAAUUUAUAUUCUCGCAUUUUCCAUUAGAAACACUCGGCGACAUCACAUUCAUUCACUAGGAAGCCAAUCAUGGAUCAUGACCCCGUGAAUGGUGGGCAUUUAACAAUCUGGCCCCACAUUUUAAAUCACAAAAUACUAAACAAAGGUUAAGGGCUUUUGUCCAAGUAAACGGUUGUUGAUCCUAGAGAGAGAGAGGGAGGGAGGGAAGGAUGAUGGGCUGUAAUGUUGCCUGGAUUCUUCUAAACCGUGUCAGGAAACUUCACCUAUUUGAUAGGAUGCUUCGUUUUUUUCCGAGUGAUUAUAAGCCAAGACCUUUCAAGGUCGACAAUUAAUUAUUUAUAACACAGGUAAUAGUUAAAGUCCUUAAAAAUUACAGCAUAGAGAGGGGAGAAAAAUGACACCCCCAAGAAUCUAUAGGUUUAUGUAUUUCGGAUUGAUUCUUAACAUUUUAUUUAAAUUUGUGUAGUCCAUGCAUUUUGACUUUUUUUCAUUUAAAACACUUCAAAACUCUUAUCUUCUGCCGCCCUAUACAACUUUUCCAUAAAUUUAUUCAAUAAUUUUUAAAAAAUUAGUGGAAUUUUUUUUAUUAAUCAAAAUAAAUCUUCAAUUCUCAAUUGACCAACAACUGAAAAGUUGACUCUCGUUUAUAGACUUUACUUAAGGUCAUCAUGAACACAGAUUUCUUUUCAUUUUAAGGAAGUAUUAUCUUGUCAUUUUCUUCUUAUUUCUAAGACGACAGUGCAAAUUGAACUUGACUAAAAUUGCCGGUUUGGCCCAAAUCUCAUGGCAAUUCGUGGGCAACCAGCAAGUCAUUAUAAUAUUUAAUUGAAUCCAAGCCAAAAAAAAAAAUAAUAAAUAAGAAAAGGGCUGUGAUGCCCAUUUGCUAGUUGUCUCGUCACCUUUAAAUUAAUCAAGAAUUUUAAAAUAAAUCUAAGGCUCCAUUUGGUAGCAUUCCUAUGUUUCUAUUUUUCUAUUCUUUUAUACCCCGAAAUAAAAAAAGAAAAAAAGAAAUCCAUUUAGUAAUGUCAGUUAAUUUUUCUAUUUCACAAAAAGUUGUCAAGGAAUAUAUUUGAAAUAAAAACAAGAAAUAGAAAAAAAAAGUUACUUCUUAUCCAUGGGAAUAAUUUUUGGAAGUAAUUUUCUUUCUUUUAUUCUUCUUCCCUCUUCUAACUAGUCCAUCGCCCACCGUUGGUUGCCAUUGGCUCUAGCCGCCGGCCAUGGCCAAUGGUCGCUGUCGACCCUCGCCUUUACCGCUUGGCGACCAACUAGAGGAGGAAGAAGAAGAGAGGAAAAAAAAAACAACAAAAAAGAAGAAGAAAAAUCUUUAAAUAUUAUUAAAAAAUUAAAAGAAAUUUUAUGUUACAAAAAAAAAAUUAUAAGUCGAAUUGAACAAAAUCCUAUUCUCUUUCUAUUUCGAGAAUAGAAAUUUUGUGUAGUUAUUAAGGAAUCCAUAAUAAUCAUUUUAUUUCUAUUUCAGAAUUUCUAUUUCAGAACUAUUUUUUUGUUUCAAACUUGCUUUUAGAAAAGAAAUAUGUUUGGUAACACAAUUUUAUUUUUCUAUUUCUAGAAUAAGUUUUUAAUUCAAAAAUAGGUUUUGAAUAAAAAUGAUAAGUAAAAAAAUUUCCCUUCUUUAUUUUUGGAAUAUAAAUGGAGAUAAAAACUAUUCUUAUCGCUUAUCUUCAUUGCUACCGCCCACCAUCCAUCGCUUUCAUCUGCCAUCGGCUACCCUCUACCAAUCGUUGCCACUGUUCGCCUCUUGCUGCCUGCCACCGAUCACCAUUGGUCGGCCCUUGCCAUCCACCACCACUUGGGAGGGAGAUAUUUUGUGUCAUUAUCAAAAAAAUUUCUAUUUUAGAAAUAUAAUUUUUGUGUCAUUAUCAAAUGUAUAUUUUUGCUUAAAAACUCAUCCAAUGAUAUAAAUAUAAAGAUAGAAAAAUCUAUUUCUGUUUCAGAAAUCAAUUUCUGACAAGAAUGGUUAUCAUUCACGCUUAAACGUGUUCAUUUACUUAGAAAUUAUUUUAGGAAAUAAAAAAGAAAAAAUUAUUUCUGGAAAGAAACUUAUUCCGGGAACAAAAAUGUUACCAAAAACACCCUAAUUCAUUAGUUGAAGCUGAACCAUUUCUUUUGAGAACUAGCCUCUAUUUCAAGUGGCAGGUGAGAGUGUCGAGUUGCUAAGAGCAGUGAAUUGUGUGGAGACUUUUUUAUGGUUCAAUGGCGGAAAUCCCAGAAUCGAAAAUGCGAAAGUUUAGUAGUGCCCAAGUAUAGAUGAAAUGGAAGUGCAAAUGAUCAGAAGUCUCCAAAUGAGCUAGUGACUUGAUAUUUAAAGUGUUAGGGAAAUUAACAGGCGCGAUGACACCAUGAGAAAUCGACGUUAGAUAGAAUGCCGCUUGCCACUAUUUUCCCUCCGAUCUAUCUCCUAAAGAAUCAUUAUAUGCUAAUUGUCAAUUGUCUUCCGCUGGGGCUUGGAAAGAGUCGAAUUUAGGACCUACAGUUUUGAUAUAAUGUGAGAUUUCAUGGGUAUGUUUAUAAUUAUUGUAAAAGCUUAAGUUGUUACAAGAAUGUAUGAUUUAUUAUUUAAAUAUUCUAAAACCAACGAAGCUAAGAAACCUUCCUGCAUUAAUAAUCAUAUAUUACCAAACGCGCCCUUAGCUGAUGCAGAAUGAUUUUUGUUCUGAAGUUCUUCUCAUCUCUAUUUGCAUCAUAUGCUAUGAGAUUUCAGGUGUUCUGCUCGUCUCUUACAAAAGAAAUCAGUCACAAAAGCUGUCGAAAAAAAAUUAAUGAAACUCUCAAGAACUUUGCACUAUUUACAAAGUGCCGCGACUCUUUUACAAAAAUACAUUGACAAAAAUGGAAUGUGGUGCGAAAAUCAUAAAUGCUGAAUGAGGAUUAGCUCGCGCUUUGGUUUAGCAUCUCAUUGUACUGAAGGUAAGAAAUUUGCCUUUGCAACUUCGUUUGUUCAUAGAAUUUAGCUAUGAACUGCUCUGCUCUUGUGUCGAUCCCUCGAUCUUCCUCAAUUUCCA